rnacentral:snRNA from 1 species
AUGCUCGCCUCGGCAGCACAUAUACUAAAAUUGGAACGAUAAAGAGGAGAUUAGCAUGGCCCCUGCACAAGGUUGACACGCAAAUUCAUGAAGCGUUCUAUAUAAAA